rnacentral:rRNA from 1 species
UGACAGUACUCCUACGGGGAGGCAGCAGUGAGGAAUAUUGGUCAAUGGACGCAAGUCUGAACCAGCCAUGUCGCGUGCAGGAAGACUGCCCUAUGGGUUGUAAACUGCUUUUAUAUGGGAAGAAAUAUAGUUACGUGUAAUUAUUUGCCGGUACCAUAUGAAUAAGCAUCGGCUAACUCCGUGCCAGCAGCCGCGGUAAUACGGAGGAUGCGAGCGUUAUCCGGAUUCAUUGGGUUUAAAGGGUGCGUAGGCGGAAUAUUAAGUCAGGGGUGAAAGUUUGUGGCUCAACCAUAAAAUUGCCUUUGAUACUGGUAUUCUUGAGUACAUUUGAGGUAGGCGGAAUGUGUUGUGUAGCGGUGAAAUGCUUAGAUAUAACACAGAACACCGAUUGCGAAGGCAGCUUACUAAACUGUCACUGACGCUGAUGCACGAAAGCGUGGGGAUCGAACAGGAUUAGAUACCCUGGUAG